GAAUAUUGGUCAAUGGGCGCAAGCCUGAACCAGCCACGCCGCGUGAGUGAUGAAGGCCUUCGGGUUGUAAAGCUCUGUGGGGAGGGAAGAAAACGGCAGGUAAGAAACGACCUGUCCUUGACGGUACCUCCUUAGCAAGCACCGGCUAACUCUGUGCCAGCAGCCGCGGUAAUACAGAGGGUGCGAACGUUGCUCGGAAUUACUGGGCGUAAAGCGCAUGUAGGCGGGUCGACAAGUCAGAUGUGAAAUCCCCGGGCUCAACCCGGGAACUGCAUCUGAAACUGCCGGUCUUGAGUACUGGAGAGGGUGGCGGAAUUCCUGGUGUAGAGGUGAAAUUCGUAGAUAUCAGGAGGAACACCGGUGGCGAAGGCGGCCACCUGGACAGUAACUGACGCUGAGAUGCGAAAGCGUGGGGAGCAAACAG
rnacentral:rRNA from 1 species